AGCCUGAUGCAGCCAUGCCGCGUGUGUGAAGAAGGCCUUCGGGUUGUAAAGCACUUUCAGUCAGGAGGAAAGGGUGUGAGUUAAUACCUCACAUCUGUGACGUUACUGACAGAAGAAGCACCGGCUAACUCCGUGCCAGCAGCCGCGGUAAUACGGAGGGUGCGAGCGUUAAUCGGAAUUACUGGGCGUAAAGCGUACGCAGGCGGUUUGUUAAGCGAGAUGUGAAAGCCCCGGGCUCAACCUGGGAACUGCAUUUCGAACUGGCAAACUAGAGUGUGAUAGAGGGUGGUAGAAUUUCAGGUGUAGCGGUGAAAUGCGUAGAGAUCUGAAGGAAUACCGAUGGCGAAGGCAGCCACCUGGGUCAACACUGACGCUCAUGUACGAAAGCGUGGGGAGCAAACGGGAUUAGAUACCCCGGUAGUCCACGCCGUAAACGAUGUCUACUAGAAGCUCGGAACCUCGGUUCUGUUUUUCAAAGCUAACGCAUUAAGUAGACCGCCUGGGGAGUACGGCCGCAAGGUUAAAACUCAAAUGAAUUGACGGGGGCCCGCACAAGCGGUGGAGCAUGUGGUUUAAUUCGAUGCAACGCGAAGAACCUUACCUACACUUGACAUACAGAGAACUUACCAGAGAUGGUUUGGUGAUUCGGGAACUCUGAUACAGGUGCUGCAUGGCUGUCGUCAGCUCGUGUUGUGAGAUGUUGGGUUAAGUCCCGCAACGAGCGC
rnacentral:rRNA from 1 species